GGGCCCGCACAAGCGGUGGAGCAUGUGGUUUAAUUCGAUGAUACGCGAGGAACCUUACCAGGGCUUAAAUGUAGAGCGACAGAGGUGGAAACACCUCCUUCUUCGGACGGUCUACAAGGUGCUGCAUGGUUGUCGUCAGCUCGUGCUGUGAAGUGUCGGGUUUAAGUCCCAUAACGAGCGCAACCCCUAUUUCUAGUUGCCAGCGUUCGGCCGGGGACUCUAGAGAAACUGCCAGCGUAAGCUGUGAGGAAGGUGGGGAUGACGUCAAAUCAUCACGGCCCUUACGUCCUGGGGCCACACACGUGCUACAAUGGUGGAGACAGAGAGUUGGCCAACCCCCGCGAGGGUG
rnacentral:rRNA from 1 species